ensembl:lncRNA
UAGAGGAGAAUCAUCUCUGGAAAAAUUUCGGCAUCUCAGAGAUCUUAGGUGCCUGGAACACUCGUUGUACAAAUGAUUGAUUCUCUGGCUGAUCCUCAGCAAAGGGAUUAACAACAUCAGGAAAGAGGCAACAUGCACCAGACAGACACCAAUAGUAUUUCCAGCCCCCGGCUGCAAUUCUACAGCAACAGAAACUUACAUAGGACACCCGGGCUCGCCUCCGAUGCACCAGCCCACAGCACUGCAUGAAGAGCUGUGCAGAACGCAGUCAGCGCGUGGCUUCACCGAGCGGCUCUGAGCCUCCUCUUCUCAUCAGAGCCACUGGCCAUUUCUUCCCACCUUCUGCUCCCAGGGAAGAAAUGGACCAGCAAUCCACCCCCAGUAUCAUUUAUUUCCCUGAAAUGACUAUUGCUAACACACAGUUGUGACCAUCUGGAUCAUCAGAGGUUCUUGGCAACGUUGUGACAGUAGCCAUUCUCACCAGGGGAAGAUUUUCAAACAGCAGAAAAUCCUGGCAUUUCACAAGCCUGCAGUAUCCUGCUUUUGACAAGAGGAGGCCUGGUUCCUGAUGCUGGCGGUGUGGCUGCUUCUGAGAGCACGGCUGCUGCAAGAAUGCCUUCCUCCCCACACAGAGACUGGCUGGAGCAUCCUGGCUUCAGCGUCGUCUCUCUAUCACUUUGGGCACAUCUGAUCUGCGAUCUCUCCCUCCUCCCUUUUCCUCUGAAAAAUGACAGAGUCUAGACUUCAAUUCACUCCGGACUCCGAGCACUAGAGUACCACCCUCCCGACUGUCAGAGGCUUUGUCUUGCGGUGUGUGUUUCCCAUGAAUUGUAGAAAGGACUGCUGGAGUGGCCUCGGGACCCAACUCACUCAGCCACCACAGGCACACAGGUUGCUGUCACUGUUUUGUUUUCUCACCACCUCAUACUCCUUUUCUAUGGUAAAGCAUUUUUUAAAAAACAUAACUCCCAGCAGGCAAAACUGAUCUGAGUCAGACCUAAUUAAUUAAUUGGAUUACUAUAUCACCUCUGAUUUAGAGACAAGAAACUAAAUAAGCUCACUGUCUGAGCACCCCGUCUCUCACACGAAUACUCCUGGUAAGCUGUAAUUUAGAAUCUUUUUCUAAAGACACGGUUUGCAGAGAUGGAGCAGAUCACAACAUUCUUGCUCAAAGGUCUUGGGCAUGUUACACUUGAAAUGAUGAAUGAUUAAUGCAUUGGGGGACACGACUAUUAAUUUAUACAGUACCCACCGUUCUAAUAAGCAGUAAUUCCUAUAGCCGUUCAGGGGGCCACGGCUAUUGAUCCACAACUGCCCCCAUGCCCAUGUCACUCUACAGACUGCUGCCAUUUGGAGAAGAUGUUUUAACUGUUUCAUGUCACAUUUUAAGACCACCCACCAUUAUGUUCCUUAGGCCCAUGGAAAGUGCAAGCCUAUUAAUUCUCAUUCUUGACCAUUGAUUCAUGAUAACCUGUGAUUUAAAGCAACGACACUCUAUUAUUAUUAUUAUUCAGAGUCUCAGAGGCUAUGAGAGCUGAAAACAAAAAUCCUGCCUUAAUUCAAUGUUCUUAUUUGAUUAAUAAAAUAACGGAGGUCCCACAUGGCCAAGUGUUUUAUAAGUAACAUACGUACAAGUAUUACUAAUCUCUAGUCAUUUAUAUAAUUGAAAUAGUCUGUGAAAAUUCUAUGGCCUUAUCCUAUGCUAAUUCACCCUCCAUCUAGUGGAAGGUCCAAAAGGGAAUCACGACUACUGCCAAGUAAUAAGGUUACCUUGGGGAUGACAUCAGGAACCUAAAAUAAAAUCAGGGGGUCCCCCCACUCCCAGACCAGGGGGAGUCUUUUUCUUUCUAUUUUGUUUUUUAAAAAUUUGUUUUAAUGGAGUAUAGUUGAUUUACAAUGUUGUGCUGACUUCUGUUAUAUGCAGUCACUCAGUCAUAUAUAUAUACAUUCACAUAUAUAUGCACAUAUGCACAUUCUUUUUUAAAUAUAUAUUGUUACUAUUAUUAUUAUUAUUUGUCUUUUAGGGCCAUGCCCAUAGCAUAUGGAAGUUCCCAGGCUAGGGGCUGAAUCAGAGCUAUAGCUGCCAGCCUACACCACAGCCACAGCAACAAAGGAUCUGAGCUGCAUCUGUGAUGUACCCCACAGCUCAUGGCAGCACUGGAUCCUUAAUGCACUCAUCGAGGCCAGGGGUCGAACACGUGUCUUCAUGGAUACGAGUCAGGUUCAUCACCGCUAAGUCACCAUGAGAGGAACUUCAAUACAUAUUUUCCAUCCUCCUGGUCUACCUCAGGAGAUUGGAUAUAGCUCCCUGUGCUGUACAGUAGGACCUCAUUGCUUAUCCAUUUUAUUGACUGACUGACUGACUCACUGAUUGAUUGAUUGUCUUUUUAGGGCCAUGCCUGCUGCAUAUGGAAGUUCCCAGGCUAUGAAUUGGAGCUGGAACCACCAGCCUACAGCACAGCCAUAGCAACACCAGAUCCGAGCUGUGUUUGUGAUCUAUACCACAGCUUAUGGCAACGCUGGAUCCUUAACCCAGAGCAGGGCUAGGGAUUGAACCUGCGUCCCUCAUGGAUACUAGUUGGGUUCGUCACUGCUAAGCCAUAAUGGGAAAUCCUGCUUAUCCAUUUUAAAUGUAAUAGGUCACACCUAUUAACCCCAAACUACCAGUCCAUCCCUCUCCCCCCACCCCCACUGGCAACCACAAGUCUGUUCUCUAGGUCUGUGAGUCUGUUUUUAUUUUGUCAGAUAGGAUUAUUUCUGUCAUAUUUUAGAUUCCACAUAGAGAUGAUAUCAUAUGGUAUUUGUCCUUCUCUGACUGACUUCGCUUAGUAUGAGCAUCUCUAGUUGCAUUCAAAAAUGACAUUUUUGAAUCACACUGCAAAUUGCCUUUUGAAGUAAGUUCUGGAAAAAAAACCAAACUUUUUCUGGACCAUACCAGAUAGAUUUCUAGGAGAUAGGAUAUCCCUUUGGUUUGUGAAAUCAACUUGAGUGAGAAAUAAAGUAAUAUAAA